rnacentral:rRNA from 1 species
AGUGAACGCUGGCGGUAGGCCUAACACAUGCAAGUCGAACGGCAGCACAGUAAGAGCUUGCUCUUACGGGUGGCGAGUGGCGGACGGGUGAGGAAUACAUCGGAAUCUACUUUUUCGUGGGGGAUAACGUAAGGAAACUUACGCUAAUACCGCAUACGACCUACGGGUGAAAGCAGGGGAUCUUCGGACCUUGCGCGAUUGAAUGAGCCGAUGUCGGAUUAGCUAGUUGGCGGGGUAAAGGCCCACCAAGGCGACGAUCCGUAGCUGGUCUGAGAGGAUGAUCAGCCACACUGGAACUGAGACACGGUCCAGACUCCUACGGGAGGCAGCAGUGGGGAAUAUUGGACAGUGGGCGCAAGCCUGAUCCAGCCAUACCGCGUGGGUGAAGAAGGCCUUCGGGUUGUAAAGCCCUUUUGUUGGGAAAGAAAAGCAGCAGGUUAAUACCCCGCUGUUCUGACGGUACCCAAAGAAUAAGCACCGGCUAACUUCGUG